UAAACCGUGGCUCAGUUCAGAUCGUAGGCUGCAACUCGCCUACGUGAAGGAGGAAUCGCUAGUAAUCGCAGGUCAGCAUACUGCGGUGAAUACGUUCCCGGGCCUUGUACACACCGCCCGUCACACCACGGAAGUUGGCCACGCCCGAAGCCGUUACUCCAACCCUUGUGGAGGAGGACGUCGAAGGUGGGGCUGAUGACUGGGGUGAAGUCGUAACAAGGUAGCCGUACCGGAAGGUGCGGCUGGAUCACCUCCUAACA
rnacentral:rRNA from 1 species